rnacentral:tRNA from 1 species
GGAGUUAUAGCUCAGUGGUAGGACCCAUGCUCAGCAGGCAUGAGGUCCUGGGUUCAAUCCCCAGUACUUCCA